rnacentral:misc_RNA from 1 species
CACCGCGCUCCGAUCACCGCCGCCACUCCGUCCACCGCGCCCACCGCCGCACUUCCAUCGCCAUGACUUCCAUUCCACGGCGGAGCUUUCUACCGACGCGGCCUCUCAGCGACGCACUCCCUGUCUCCCAGCCGGACUCCGCUCAAACCCUACGCCGAAGGCUCUCUUCCAUUUCCUUCAAGAUCCAGCCGAUUUCUUCGCCUGGUACUUCCUGGUCGUUCCGCAGAUCCAAAUCCGUGUCGUCAAUGCGCGAUUUCACCGGUAGUUCUCUCCGGAAGUGGUGGG